GAUGAACGCUAGCGGCAGGCUUAAUACAUGCAAGUCGAACGGGAUCCAUCUUCGGAUGGUGAGAGUGGCGCACGGGUGAGUAACGCGUACACAAUCUGCCUUAAAGCGGGGGAUAGCGUUGGGAAACUGACGGUAAUACCCCAUAAGAUCGUAUGUUGGCAUCAACGAGCGAUUAAAGUUACGGCGCUUUAAGAUGAGUGUGCGUCAGAUUAGGUAGUUGGUAGGGUAAUGGCCUACCAAGCCGACGAUCUGUAGGGGGCGUGAGAGCGUGGCCCCCCACACGGGUACUGAGACACGGACCCGACUCCUACGGGAGGCAGCAGUAGGGAAUAUUGGGCAAUGGGCGCAAGCCUGACCCAGCCAUGCCGCGUGAAGGAUGAAGGCCCUCUGGGUUGUAAACUUCUUUUAUCUGGGAAGAAAAUGUGGGAUUCAUCCUGCACUGACGGUACCAGAGGAAUAAGCACCGGCUAACUCCGUGCCAGCAGCCGCCGUAAGAC
rnacentral:rRNA from 1 species